rnacentral:rRNA from 1 species
CGUGUAGGCGGCCACGCAAGUCAGGUGUGAAAUCCCUCGGCUCAACCGGGGAACUGCGCUUGAAACUGCAUGGCUUGAGUAUGGGAGAGGGAAGCGGAAUUCCCGGUGUAGCGGUGAAAUGCGUAGAUAUUGGGAGGAACACCGGUGGCGAAGGCGGCUUCCUGGACCAUUACUGACGCUGAUGCGCGAAAGCGUGGGGAGCAAACA